GGUGGUGCUGCUGCCGGUGGCAGCGUCGCCCCGAAGGCAAGCUGCUGGAAGCCGUCCCGGGCUCAAACCACGGCGGGCAGCCCGGCUCCCUGGCGCCCUCCGGCCCCUGUGAGCCCGGGCCCUGCGCGCGCGGGGAGGGGCCGUGUGUCAGAGCCCUACAGUCGGGGCAGGGACCCUGCUUGGGGCGUCACACGGCCUUCCCGCCGGGUCCUAGUGCGCCCUUUGCUUCCCAGCCCAGGGGGAAGCGGAGGGCGCGCGCGCUGAACACACGUCUCCUUUCCUCUCGGCCCUCCAGUCGCCGCCUGAUUAUGCGGGACCCUUUUCUGUCCCCCUUCCACCCACUCCCCGGGGCUUGUUUGGAAGCAAACCGGCGAAAGCAAACUUGCCAUCCUUGGGCAGACUGAACCGCUUCAUGCUCGAAAUUCAUAUUUGGAAUUCUAAACCUUUUUUUAUCAGUCUCUAGGCAGAUGUACCCAAUCAGCUUUAAACGGCACUGAUAGGGCUUGAUUUAUCAAGGCCGUUUCACAUAUUACAGGAUGAAACAGGCAAAUCCACCUUCACCCCCAAAUGUACUUUCAACAGCAGCGAAGCCAGGUCUUGCAAGGUCGAAACCUUGGGACUUUCUGGGCAUCAGGGACAUCACAUGUGACAUCACCACCCGUCCAGACGUCCCUGUUUCCUCUGAGCUUAGCUUCGGUCUCCACAUUCACCUGGAGAGAAACUGAUCUGUCCAAGCAUAGUGUCCAGAUCCUGUUGCUGACUUAAGCACAUGUUUGUGUUUAGGUGUGCAGUUCUUCACAGUAAAUUGCUAGUCACAUUACUAGAUGCAUGCCUGUUACAGAAUCGGGCACAGAUCUCUUAAUGCAACUGAUACCCUGUUUGCAGCAAUCUCCUGCAGCCCAUUACACAGUUCAACUUACACACAUCUUAAAUCACCAGCAGGAUUCUGGCUACUAUAUUUUUAUCAUCAUGUGCCAUCAAAUCAAUUCUGGCUUAUGGUAACCAAUGUGUAGCUUGAUGUACUACAGCUAUUCAUCCAGUAUUGGAACUUGAACAGCAGGGAAAAUGACCACACGAGAUGCUGAUGUUGAACUUUGGAAGAACAACCUCUGGGGAAAGUGCCCCAGAGGGAGACUACAGCUGCAAUACAAG